rnacentral:rRNA from 1 species
UACGUAGGUGGCUAGCGUUGUCCGGAUUUACUGGGCGUAAAGAGCGCGCAGGCGGUCUUGAAGUCAGGCGUGAAAGCCCGGGCUUAACCUGGGAAUUGCGCUUGAUACUCUGAGACUGGAGUACGGGAGAGGAGAGUGGAAUUCCCGUGUAGAGGUGAAAUUCGUAGAUAAGUUGGGAAGAACACCGGUGGCGAAGGCGGCCUGCUGGCAGUUUGCUGACACUGAGGCGCGACAGCGUGGGAGCAACAGGAU